AUUGAACGCUGGCGGCAGGCCUAACACAUGCAAGUCGAAUGAGUGGCGGACGGGUGAGUAAUGCUUGGGUAUCUGGCUUAUGGAGGGGGAUAACUACGGGAAACGGUAGCUAAUACCGCGUACCAUAGGAUGAGCCCAAGUGGGAUUAGGUAGUUGGUGGGGUAAAGGCUCACCAAGACGACGAUCUCUAGCUGGUCUGAGAGGAUGACCAGCCACACUGGGACUGAGACACGGCCCAGACUCCUACGGGAGGCAGCAGUGGGGAAUAUUGCACAAUGGGGGCAACCUGACGCAGCCAUGCCGCGUGAAUGAAGAAGGCCUUCGGGUUGUAAAGUUCUUUCGGUGGCGAGGCGUUACCCGCAGAAGAAGCACCGGCUAACUCCGUGCCAGCAGCCGCGGUAAUUC
rnacentral:rRNA from 1 species